rnacentral:tRNA from 4 species
GCUCUCCUGGUGAAAUUGGUAGACACGCUGGUUUUAGGAACCAGUGCUUUUAGCAUGAGGGUUCGAGUCCCUCGGAGAGCA